rnacentral:rRNA from 1 species
CGGACGGGUGAGUAACGCGUGGGUAACCUGCCUUGUACUGGGGGACAACAGUUGGAAACGACUGCUUAUACCGCAUAAGCGCACAGCUUCGCAUGAAGCAGUGUGAAAAACUCCGGUGGUACAAGAUGGACCCGCGUCUGAUUAGCUGGUUGGUGAGGUAACGGCCCACCAAGGCAACGAUCAGUAGCCGGCCUGAGAGGGUGAACGGCCACAUUGGGACUGAGACACGGCCCAGACUCCUACGGGAGGCAGCAUG